AUACUUUAUUUGGUGCACGUGAUACACUAUUUUCCAGAUUCCAAAAUAGAGAUGACGCUAUUAGCUAAACCUGCCCCCCAGUCCUCCGCUCACUUUUGGCAGUGUUCAACUGCCAGUUUCGAUGACUGGGUAACGGCUGGAAGACUGAAUAUCUUCUGACUGUCAUGACGACGCUCUCUGAAUGAGAGAAAGGAAAAAACAACGACAAAUAGAUUCGCUCCAGCUAUCCUCCUCAGGCCCAUGUUCUCCAGCUCCAGCUUUCUGAUUUCGGACCGCAUUGCUCUGAUCACCUGGAUAAGCCUCUGUUCGCUCUCCAUGGUGCUAACAUAUUUCUGCCCUGUCUGCAUCUCUCACAAUGGCAUCCAACCCACCGUACGACCCCAUCUGACCUGUAAACAUCCCAUCUCUAUUUAUAGGUGUAAACUAGUCACACCAGUCUACACAGAUGUCCUUUUUCAUUCAGAGUUAAUUUCAAAGCCCAAUAUUUGGCCAACAGAGAAAUGAGGAGCCACUCAAGAGCAGCAGUCUGUCAGCAGACCAUUGACAGUCUGGUCACAUGAUGGGGAGAGUGUUAUUUUCUUCUUAGUGAUCUGAUGCCUACCACUUUCCCUCCUCCUGUUAAAUAUUCAUCUACUCUGUCAACGUAAAGCAACAAUAGGUCCUUGGGAGAGGGAUGGCCUUGGGUCUAGCAGUCUGUAUCAAGGUGAUAGGGUGAACUGCUUCUCCUUCAAACUACUCCUCACUGUGGCUGAAAUGCAUAAAGAUGGACAAGACAUUAUUUACAUUUGUCUAACAUCUAUUUGUUUUGUAUCUAAACCUUCAGUUUCUUCUUUCUGCCCCAAAUUUGUUUAGUAUAUGAAGUAUAUCAAAAUAGACCUGUCAAUUUACACCCAGAUAUCCUCUUUAUGAUUAGGGCUCAUGCAGACUGCAUUCACACAAAUUUAAUUACUGCACGCACACAGUUAAACUCAUGAAUGAAUAACAAGAUGACUGCUAUGUGUGUUUAUGUGUGUGUAUAUUUAAUGUGUGAAGCUUUAAAAUAAAAACACCUGUGCACUGUAGUACAGUAUCCAGAGGAGA